GGCCUAGACAUUAAAUGAUAACCAACCACUCAUGAUUCAGGACAACAGCAUUGAGACCACGUGGAUAAAGAGGGCUGUCCAGACCUCUGCUGACCUACCAGCUGAUGCUGCCAUGUGAGUGAGCCCAGGUUCCCAAGUGAUUCUGAGCCCGCCAGCUCAAACACCACGCUUUGAGCACUAUUGCCCUGGACCAUAAACUUCUUGUACAGAAGGAACUGACCUUUUAUUUCUGGAUGUGCAAUUCCUAGCACGUAGGAGCUAAGCACAUUCACUAACCACUGAACUGUUGAACCCUACCUGACCACGGCACCAAGAUUCCAGGGACCAGAACAGGAAGCCAUUAAUACACAGGUGGCACUGAUGUGGGUGACUGCUUUGGCCGGACUUCUCUUUGUCUGGAUCUGGAAUGUAUUUGAUCUGAGGACUGCUCAAGGCGCUGUGGGACAACAGGCCAUGCCUGUGUCUCUUCCCUUCUACACAUCCAACAUUAGAGUAUCCGGGGAAUUCCCCGGCUGUCGGGUGGGUGGGAUUUGGCACUUUCACUACCAUGGCCUGGGUUCAAUCACUGGUCAGGAC
ensembl:lncRNA